rnacentral:rRNA from 1 species
GAUGAACGCUGGCGGCGUGCUUAACACAUGCAAGUCGAACGAUGAAGCCCAGCUUGCUGGGUGGAUUAGUGGCGAACGGGUGAGUAACACGUGAGUAACCUGCCCUUAACUCUGGGAUAAGCCUGGGAAACUGGGUCUAAUACCGGACAGGAGCGUCCACCGCAUGGUGGGUGUUGGAAAGAUUUAUCGGUUUUGGAUGGACUCGCGGCCUAUCAGCUUGUUGGUGAGGUAAUGGCUCACCAAGGCGACGACGGGUAGCCGGCCUGAGAGGGUGACCGGCCACACUGGGACUGAGACACGGCCCAGACUCCUACGGGAGGCAGCAGUGGGGAAUAUUGCACAAUGGGCGAAAGCCUGAUGCAGCGAAGCCGCGUGGGGGAUGACGGCCUUCGGGUUGUAAGCCUCUUUCAGUAGGGAUGAAGCGAAAGUGACGGUACCUGCAGAAGAAGCACCGGCUAACUACGUG